CUUUCUCCUGCAGAGCAGCUUGGGGUUCAGACAGCUGACCUUCCAGUUAGCAGCCAGCACCCCCAGGACUCCUUUCAACCCUGCUAAAACGCCACCACCCAAUGCCACAGAGCUGAUUCUGACUCAGCAACCCUGCAGGACAGAGUGGACCAGCCCUGUGGGUUUCCGUAACGACUCUUCACCAGAGCACUCAGUAUACUUGGGCAGCACGAAUUAUGAGUUCUGCUUUUCUGGCUUCAGUUGAAUGAAGGAUAAGGGGGCUGAAAAAAGUUUUGGGAAAAUGGAACUAAAACAUACUGGAAGCACCAUCAUGUUGAAAAUAUUAAGUGAGUCCUAAAGGCACUUGACCAAUUUAACUUCUCUUUCAAAAUGAUGUGAAGCAUUGAAGUCUGGAAUGGAAACUACUAGUAUUCUUCCCAUGCAGGAGAAUUUAGUGUCCAAAGUCAUGUACCAUUUUGAAAGCAUAAGCGUGAUGCUUAUGUUGAUUUGUGUCAUAUGAUGUCUUGCAUUCACUUGCUGGAUAAAGAUUCAGGAUUUCAGUGGCUUCUGUGUUAAAUUCCACAAUCGUAUCCUAGUGCCACAUAUACUGCGCUGUUCUACUCGAAGAGGCACAGCAGCCUUGAUUGUCUUCUUUGAGUGGAAAUGAGAAAUUAGGAAAUAAAAGAUUAGGGCUACAGACUUAUUGGGGUUUGAACACCUAGCAUAUUCAGCAUCUUACUUCCCGGGCAUUGGAACUUGGUGUAUUUUUGAAUGAAUAAAGUGAUUAACUUUCUCUGAUUUGAGAAGUAGAUUUUCAUAUAUUACUGGCAUUUCCGACUAGUGGUUUGAAACACAAAAAUCUAUUUUCUUAGGGCAAGACUGUUUUUAUAGUUGAGCAUUACACGUUCCUGUCUUACCGUUGGGCCUAUAAAUGAAGAAGCGCUAAGCUGAUGCUUCACCUUGAAUAGCAUGAAUGAAAUGCUGCUUUAGCUUAGUUGAACCGGUUUGGAGUUACUUUUUUCGUUGUGCACCCGCCGGUAACAAAGGGCACGAAGGGCAUUCCUCUGUCACAUUGUGAUACUCUGUGUAGAAAUGCGUACGUUUUAAUUUUUUCAUAAGAAUAGCUUCUGAGAUUUCAUAUUUUAGUGUCAUGUUUGAUAUUUCAUUCCAUGAUCAUUUGUUCAUUCACAUGUAUUUUUAUUUUUAGCUUUAAGCGAAAGACAUGAGGCCUAAGACUGAAUGAGGUUGUUUUGAGGUCAUCCUCGUCCUGAACCACUUCAAACAGAAUGGUUUGCAAUUUUUUUUGGUGAUGGCAUGUUCAGAAUCUUGGAUCCCUAAGUUGAAUAUGUUGGAAAGAUUUAGGAACCCUGGAGACUGUUAUUUUCCUAUAUCUCAUGACUUACUAGGUGGAUGGAUCAGUAAUAAAAAGUAUAUGAAAGAACA